UCCACCGCCGUCGGCUGUCCAACACUGAUCAAAUCGUCGGUGCUCCCUAUCGCCGGUUAUUCCCAUCGGUCUUCUCCCUAUCUCUCUCUAUUUCUCUCACCGUCGAGCUUCCUCUUUCUCUCUGCGACUCCGCAGCUAGCCUCCGACACCGUCCCAGCGGCGAUUCCGUGCCGGACCAGGAGCCGCUACUGCCACCGUCGUCGCACCCUCACGGCGGCAGGUUCCCUCUCGGCGGCAUCGCUGUCUCCGCCACUAUGCUCAGCUCGGCAUCGCGCAGUCGGUUGGCGCUGCUCUCCGCAGCCUUUCCGCUCGUCGCUGCCGGCUCUUGUGAUCGCCGUUGCUACCGCCGAGGAGUCCGCGCGGCUGCCCUCGUUGCUUAGCCGCUGUCGGAGGUCGUGGGGAAGCCCUUCGGCUUCAAGAUAAGUCCUCUAACUUCUACUAAAACUUAAUUCUUUAUGUUCGAGUUUCCGGCAGCAACUAUGUGUGAUCUUAGAAACAUGGGCAAUGGUUGUGAUUAAAGGCUUGAUCUUGAUGUUGAUACUAAUUGUUGAUUGAUGCUACUUCUAUGUUCUCUAUGUCCUAUCUUACAAUUGCUAUGUUGGGAUCUAUAUGAAUGCUAUUUUUGUAAAAGAUGUUGGGGAGAAUUACCUUGCUUUGGUGAUUCGUUAAUUGUUGUGGCUAUUGCUUGCUGCCACUAUUUGCUCUUCUCCCUCCCCACUGCUGCACUCCUUGUAGUGUAUAGAAUUUUGGGUGUCGAAAGGGGUGGGAGAGAAAGGGGGUUUGUGGCUGUUUAUAUAGCUAAAUUUCUUGGACUUUUGUGGCAGACCUUGGGAGCUUCCACUCCUACUUUGAGCUAUUGUCCCUUUCACCUGUUGAAUUUGAGCUUAAAGCUUCUAUGCCUAAAUUGGUGUAAGACAUUGGACAACUCAUGCUAUCUCUAGGAGACUACAAAUUGACCCCUUGGAAUGGAGUGGGGGAUCAAGAAUCGAGACAUGUGUAGAAGGAGUCUCAAGGAAGAUUUGAGUAUCUUGUAGUUGUCUCUUUGCUCAUUUUGGUUUGAUGACGUAGAGUGACCUUUGUAAAUAAGUUGUAGUUAUUUCCAUUUAAUCCUCACAUAGGACAAGUAUCCUACUACUUGUGGAAGGUAGUCUUGCACCUUUGUGCAUUUGGUUUCCACAUUUCCUUUUUGAUAAAAUGUAGCUUCUAAAGUAGCAUGUACUCCCAUCUUCACAUAUUCAUGUAUGUAGUUAUCUAUGCAACCUAUAUCCUCAUUCUACACUUAUAUUUAUCUUGGCAUUUCUCUUGAAA